GAUGAACGCUGGCGGCGUGCCUAAUACAUGCAAGUCGAACGCUGAAGGAGGAUCUUGCUCUUCUGGAUGAGUUGCGAACGGGUGAGUAACGCGUAGGUAACCUGCCUGGUAGCGGGGGAUAACUAUUGGAAACGAUAGCUAAUACCGCAUGACAACAGUUAUUGCAUGAUAACUGUUUAAAAGGGGCAACUGCUCCACUACCAGAUGGACCUGCGUUGUAUUAGCUAGUUGGUGAGGUAACGGCUCACCAAGGCGACGAUACAUAGCCGACCUGAGAGGGUGAUCGGCCACACUGGGACUGAGACACGGCCCAGACUCCUACGGGAGGCAGCAGUAGGGAAUCUUCGGCAAUGGACGGAAGUCUGACCGAGCAACGCCGCGUGAGUGAAGAAGGUUUUCGGAUCGUAAAGCUCGGUUGUAAGAGAAGAACGAGUGUGAGAGUGGAAAGUUCACACUGUGACGGUAUCUUACCAGAAAGGGACGGCUAACUACGUG
rnacentral:rRNA from 1 species